rnacentral:rRNA from 1 species
AAAUUGAAGAGUUUGAUCAUGGCUCAGAUUGAACGCUGGCGGCAGGCCUAACACAUGCAAGUCGAGCGGUAGCACAGAAGAGCUUGCUCUUUGGGUGACGAGCGGCGGACGGGUGAGUAAUGUCUGGGAAACUGCCUGAUGGAGGGGGAUAACUACUGGAAACGGUAGCUAAUACCGCAUAACGUCUUCGGACCAAAGAGGGGGACCUUCGGGCCUCUCGCCAUCAGAUGUGCCCAGAUGGGAUUAGCUAGUAGGCGGGGUAAUGGCCCACCUAGGCGACGAUCCCUAGCUGGUCUGAGAGGAUGACCAGCCACACUGGAACUGAGACACGGUCCAGACUCCUAC